rnacentral:lncRNA from 1 species
UACAACCAGGAACCAUACGAGCCGAUUGAACACUCUCUAUAUCUUCUAGGCAAACCGCACACUCGGUCGACCUAGCCAUUACGGCAAGCUCUUUUCCGGUAAGUUUUGGGAUCUUUUCCAGCUCUAAAACCGUAAGGCCUUUACCGGUAACCGGCUUAACAGGUUCCGCGAAUCGAAGACGUUCAAUACGACGUCGUGUUGAACACCAUAAAAGGAAGAGAUAGAUUAAGAAAAUGAUGCACAUGCCUACACAAGGGAGGAGGAGGACCAUGAAAACUGUAGAUACCAUGGACUGGCCGCCGCCUGAUUCCGCGGCGGUUGGUGGCGGAGAAGGUACUAAAACUGGUGUCAUGAGUGUGUGUAGUGCUUUUGGUUUUGGUUGUGAAAAAGCAAAAAAGAAAGAAAAAAAGUUAUAUUCCUCUGCUCAUUGUUUUGUUGUUUGGCAGUGAAAAUUUUGUGAAAAAGAGUAACGGCUAUUUAUAUGGAGAGGAGAGGACACGGCAGAGGCAAAUACAAGACUCUAGGUUAAGCUAUUAUUUAUUUUUAUUUUUGUACAAAUCAGUUAUUUUUAAUUAUUAUGUUUUUUUGUUUGUUUUAUAUACACCAGGUUCUUUUGCCCCAUUGAAUUAUUAUAUAACGUCAAUUUUUAAAUGGUAAUGAAAACGAUUUGAUAUAUGGCU